UGGGGAAUAUUGCACAAUGGGCGAAAGCCUGAUGCAGCGACGCCGCGUGCGGGAUGAAGGCCUUCGGGUUGUAAACCGCUUUUAAUUGGGAGCAAGCGAGAGUGAGUGUACCUUUUGAAUAAGCACCGGCUAACUACGUGCCAGCAGCCGCGGUAAUACGUAGGGUGCAAGCGUUAUCCGGAAUUAUUGGGCGUAAAGAGCUCGUAGGCGGUUUGUCACGCCUGGUGUGAAAGUCCAUCGCUUAACGGUGGAUCUGCGCCGGGUACGGGCAGGCUAGAGUGCAGUAGGGGAGAUUGGAAUUCCCGGUGUAACGGGUGGAAUGUGUAGAUAUCGGGAAGAACACCAAUGGCGAAGGCAGAUCUCUGGGCUGUUACUGACGCUGAGGAGCGAAAGCAUGGGGAGCGAACAGGAUUAGAUACCCUGGUAGUCCAUGCCGUAAACGGUGGAUGCUGGAUGUGGGGCCCUUCCACGGGCUCCGUGUCGGAGCUAACGCGUUAAGCAUCCCGCCUGGGGAGUACGGCCGCAAGGCUAAAACUCUA
rnacentral:rRNA from 1 species